UACCAGCUCUCCGAGUGGUAGGGAUGAUUAUUGGGCUUAAAGCGUCCGUAGCCGGCUUAGCAAGUCUCCUGUUAAAUUCAGCGACCUAAUCGUUGAGCCGCGGGAGAUACUACUAGGCUAGGAGGCGGGAGAGGUCAACGGUACUUCCGGGGUAGGGGUGAAAUCCUAUAAUCCCGGGAGGACCACCAGUGGCGAAGGCUGUUGACUAGAACGCGCUCGACGGUGAGGGACGAAAGUUGGGGGAGCGAACCGGAUUAGAUACCCGGGUAGUCCCAGCUGUGAACGAUGCGAGCUAGGUGUUGGGGUGGCUACGUGCCACUUCAGUGCCGCAGGGAAGCCAUUAAGCUCGCCGCCUGGGGAGUACGGCCGCAAGGCUGAAACUUAAAGGAAUUGGCGGGGAGCACCACAAGGCGUGAAGCUUGCGGUUC
rnacentral:rRNA from 1 species